AAAUUGAAGAGUUUGAUCAUGGCUCAGAUUGAACGCUGGCGGCAGGCCUAACACAUGCAAGUCGAACGGUAACAGGAAGCAGCUUGCUGUUUCGCUGACGAGUGGCGGACGGGUGAGUAAUGUCUGGGAAACUGCCUGAUGGAGGGGGAUAACUACUGGAAACGGUAGCUAAUACCGCAUAACGUCGCAAGACCAAAGAGGGGGACCUUCGG
rnacentral:rRNA from 1 species